AUUGAACGCUGGCGGCAUGCUUUACACAUGCAAGUCGAACGGCAGCACGGACUUCGGUCUGGUGGCGAGUGGCGAACGGGUGAGUAAUACAUCGGAACGUGCCCAGUUGUGGGGGAUAACUACUCGAAAGAGUAACUAAUACCGCAUGAGAACUGAGGUUGAAAGCAGGGGAUCGUAAGACCUUGCGCAACUGGAGCGGCCGAUGGCAGAUUAGGUAGUUGGUGGGAUAAAAGCUUACCAAGCCGACGAUCUGUAGCUGGUCUGAGAGGACGACCAGACACACUGGGGCUGGGAAACGGCCCAGACUCCUACGGGAGGCAGCAGUGGGGAAUUUUGGACGAUGGGCGAAAGUCUGAUCCAGCAAUGCCGCGUGCAGGAUGACGGCCUUCGGCUUGUAAACUGCUUUUGUACGGAACGAAAAGAUUCGGGCUAAUACCCUGGAGUCAUGACGGUACCGUAAGAAUAAGCACCGGCUAACUACGUGCCAGCCGCCGCUGUAAUAC
rnacentral:rRNA from 1 species